rnacentral:hammerhead_ribozyme from 1 species
GCCCUGCUGACGAGUCCAAAACAGGACGAAACAGCUGUCCAGUGC